GCAGCCCAGUUAUAGCUCUCCCGCGCAAAUUUGGAGCGACAUUUUUUGACGCAACUUCAACGCAACCCCCAAAAUAAUUGUCCCCAUAUAUUUCACCCUCGAAAUAAUGACCCUAAGGCCAGAAUCAAAGCAUAAAAAUGAGUUUUCGUUCAGUGAGAAAACUCAUUUUCGUUGAUUUUUAGCUCUUCCCCUCUCUCUGAGAAAACUCAAACAGCUGAGGCGCGGUGGUUGAUGAUCAGCUCCGACGACAAUCCAGCGAUCUCAUCUCCAACGACUAGCUGAGGCGCGGUUGUCGGCGAUCUCAGCUCCGCCACUUCUUCAUCGGAUUACAGAUCCUUCAUUUGUGAAAUACACUGUAGAGCCAGUGAGUUUGAGGAAACUCACUUAACUCAAGGCCACUUACCAGAGGAAAUUGCUGAUUACUUAAAUAAGAUGGGUGCAAGGAUACCAAUAAAAAAACCUGGGAAGGCUACCAUAGAAUACCUCACAAGAUUCAGGCAUCGACUUGCUUUUGGGGUAAUAAUAUGUAUUUCUUUCAAAGAGAGCAUUUAUGAGGUAUAGUCUGCUGCAGAAUUGUAAAAAUAUGUUUCUUCAUUAUUCUAGUAUGAGUGAUAUAACGUUCACUAUUCUAGUUUUUUAGCAGUACUGGUUCUCAUUUUUUUUUUUUUUUUUGGGUACUAUAGUAGUGUCAUUGUUGCUUCUCUCUAUAUUUAUUUUGUGUUCAAAUAUUUCUCUGCUGUGCUGUGCUCUCAUUUGCUUACAUUGUGCAAUCAGUGCUCUUCAAGAUCUAUACAGGUCCCUAAACAACCCAUCAGUACUGAAGGGAUGGAGAGUGGAUGGUGGGGAUCCCUGUGAGUAGUCAAGGACAUGAGUGUCAUGUUCUGAUUCAUCUGUUAUACACCUGUAAUCCACUUAGCUAACCUAUUUUUUCUACUAACAAUGCCACAUUGCCAUAAAAAACCCAAAACCUUAGCCCUUCUAUGGUCUUUGCUAAUUUUAUGCAGUAAAAUUCAAGGGCUAAACCUCACUGGGUGGAUUGGAGGCCAGCUUAAUAACCUGCAUCAUUUGAAGCACCUAUAACUGAAACUGCCUUGUUAUAUUUAGCUCUUAUUGAAAUAGUACCUGUACUGUUUAUUUAAUUCUUUAUUCUGGUUUCUUCUUUAGAGAUGUCAGCUACAAUAACAUUCAGGGUGAAAUUCCAUAUAGCUUACCCCCUAAUGCCACAAAUAUGUAAGAUGCCUGUUUUGUAAAUUGUGAUUCUUAUAUGCUUAUUUUUUUUUUUCUUUCAAGUUUUUGGUGAUUCUUCUACUUUUUCGUGAAUGCAGAAAUAUGGCAUACAACUAUUUGAGCCAAAAUAUUCCCUACUCUUUACCAACCUUGAAAUAUCUCCGACAUCUAUGAGUUACUUCUCCCCCCAAGUGCCUAUUUACUGAAUUGCUUUUGGUUUUUGGUUAUUCAGUCAGAAUCCCUGGACACUUUUCUUGUAGAAAUCUCAGCCACAGUUUGUUGUCUGGACCAAUUGGCAAUGUCUUUACUGGCUUACAGAAUCUCAGAGAGAUGUAUGUGUUCUUCACCUGAUCCUUAUAUUUCCUUUUCCCUGGCAUUUGAAGUGAAAAGAAAUUAAUGCAAAGUACAACAUUCCAUGAAAUAUAAACAAAUUUUAGUAUAACUGAACUUGUGGUUUCUGUUACUAGUUUUUCUUAUGAACAGUUCUGAAA